UAGGGAACGCCUCCUUCUUCCCUGUCUACUCAAAAGCACUGGUGGCAGCAGCUGAGGAGUGAAGAAGAGAAGGAAAUAUUCAAGUAGUGGACAUCUGAAACAAACAUCAGGGAGAGAAACAGCUGUGAUAGUCACACAGAGUUACGACGUGUGUUCCUGGCAAGCUGACUAGACAGAUUGAUCACUCAGACGUGCAGCAAAGAUGGCCUCCGCCGCUCCGUUCAGCCGCAGACAGUGGGCGUCCCAGUCACUGAGGGUCACCGCCAAGGAGCUGACCAUUGUCUCUGCCCGGGGUAAAAACACCGCCAUUGCAGAGCGCUUCUCCAAGUACCAGAUGGCAGCAGAAGAGGGAAAUGCAGAGAAGAAGAAGAAAGCGGUAGGUACCUUA